rnacentral:misc_RNA from 1 species
GUACGUCAUCCCCACCUUCCUCCGGUUUGUCACCGGCAGUCUCCCUAGAGUGCCCUUGCGUAGCAACUAGGGACAAGGGUUGCGCUCGUUGCGGGACUUAACCUAACAUCUCACGACACGAGCUGACGACAGCCAUGCAGCACCUGUGCACGAUCUCCGAAGAGGGGCUCUCGUUUCUGAGAGCUUGCUCGUGCAUGUCAAGCCUAGGUAAGGUUCUUCGCGUUGCGUCGAAUUAAACCACAUGCUCCACCGCUUGUGCAGGCCCCCGUCAAUUUCUUUGAGUUUUAACCUUGCGGCCGUACUCCCCAGGCGGAUAACUUAACGCGUUAGCUGCGCCACCGAAGCUCUAAGAGCCCCGACAGCUAGUUAUCAUCGUUUACGGCGUGGACUACCAGGGUAU